rnacentral:rRNA from 1 species
CUGGCUCAGGAUGAACGCUAGCGGCAGGCUUAACACAUGCAAGUCGAGGGGCAUCGGGAGUAGCAAUACUGCCGGCGACCGGCGCAAGGGUGCGUAACGCGUGAGCAACAUGCCCGUAUCAGGGGGAUAAUCCAUGGAAACGUGGUCUAAUACCCCAUAGUAAUUAUGUAAGGCAUCUUAUAUAAUUUAAAGCUUUGGUGGAUACGGAUUGGCUCGCGUGACAUUAGCUAGAUGGUAAGGUAACGGCUUACCAUGGCUACGAUGUCUAGGGGUUCUGAGAGGAAGGUCCCCCACACUGGAACUGAGACACGGUCCAGACUCCUACGGGAGGCAGCAGUGAGGAAUAUUGGACAAUGGAUGGAAAUCUGAUCCAGCCAUGCCGCGGUGCAAGGAAGACGGCCCUAUGGGUUGUAAACUGCUUUUGUAUGGGAGCAAUAAGGGCUACGUGUAGUCCGAUGAGAGUACCAUACGAAUAAGCACCGGCUAACUCCGUGCCAGCCGCCGC